GACAGAGGAUGCAAGCGUUAUCCGGAAUGAUUGGGCGUAAAGCGUCUGUAGGUGGCUUUUUAAGUCCGCCGUCAAAUCCCAGGGCUCAACCCUGGACAGGCGGUGGAAACUACCAAGCUGGAGUACGAGAGGGGGCAGAGGGAAUUUCCGGUGGAGCGUGAAAUGCGUAGAGAUCGGAAAGAACACCAACGGCGGAAAAGCACUCUGCUGGGCCGACACUGACACUGAGAGACGAAAGCUAGGGGAGCGAAUGG
rnacentral:rRNA from 1 species